UUUUCUGGAGAAAUUGCAGAGCAGCACAACAAAGGUUACAUGGUUUCUGUAGUUGAGAGAAACAAGUUCAGGUUAUCAACAGUACACCCACCACGCCAAGUUCUUAACUGAACAUAUGCAUUUGUUUCAGAGAUGGUGUUACAUCCUGUGAUAUAAAUGAAAAUUACAGCAAAACAAAAAACCUGCAAGAGAAGCGCUCUGCCAAACCAAAAGAUAAUUGAACCAUUGGAUCUUGAGCUGAUGUACUGCAUGCACUUCUUUGUUUGUACGAGAUUCACCUCUAUUUUUGUGGUUCAUAUAUUGAAGAUCCUUCAAUUCAGUUAUCAACACACCAUAGCAGGCAUGCUUGCCACCUAUCUUUUGGAUGCACUCCCUUGUCAUUUUCUAUUGCUAAUUAGAGCACUUCAGGAGCACCGACUCAUGUGCGAAUGUGUAGCUGGUUUCAGACUAGACAAUACUCUGGCAAUACCUGUGCAAUUGAGCAACAAGUUCAGAAUAGGAGAAGCAACCAGGAAUCAUUCACACGAAGAGUACUGAAUAAAAAUAAGAAUUGCACUGAUCUAAAAUUAGUUUUAAACUGAGGGUGUCACUUUGGUGUGUGAUCAUUUCUUGUGAACAUUCAAUUAAACAUGUUUGGUGUCACUUGAUGCAAGAAGGCAAGAAGGUUUUAUUUUGUACACACACACAUAGUACUGUCAUAUGUGUUGCACAAAAGAAAAUCAGGAACUCAUGGGAUGGAGGGUCGAAAUGUUGCACAAAAAUAUAUGGUUUCUCUUUUUGCUUAGACAUUCCCACAAACGUACCAAGUGCACAGGUUGAACUGAUCUCGUGCACUUGCUCGAGGGUAGGCCGGGAGCUACGAAUAGAGUAGCACAUGAGUCGAACUUCAAUUGGGAGGCUACAUAAAAAGAGGACAAAACUAAGAGAGAUAGCAGUCAUUGAACUGAAACAAAAUUAGGAAUUCAAUUGGACUAAAUCAAGAAAUUAACUGAUUGUGCCACGAGUUAGGCAAUGGUGAAGAUCAUUCCAUUUUGCUAUCUCUCUCUCAACUCAGAUCACUCUGCUGCAGCAACAAACAGCAGCAACGCACCAAUGCAAGCAGCUGGGGCUUCAUGCAAUUUUUGGCUUGAUUUUUUUGAUUGAACUGAGCUUGAAUUUUCCACUGAACUUAGCUUAAACAUCGCCAGAAAUUAGUUGAACUUUUUGUACUGAACUUAACUGAACUUUGUACAAGGAUCCACAUUUUACCUAAACUUUUUUUGAGGGAUUUGCACGGCUGACCGGUGGUGAAGGCAGGGUGAGCAGAGGCACAGGAGGACCUACUGGACGUUGUCGCCAUUGCCAUUGCACUCUGCAAGGAGGAUGGUGAUGGGAGCAAGCCUCUAUUGGAGCAAUCGCAUGGGACACGUCGGGAGUGCGGCCGCCGGUGGCAAGGACCGGCCAUCCCUCGGUGAUCCACCACCGUGGCUAGCCUCAAGACUGAGUUGGCGUGCGAGGCAGUAGUGGGACAGUUGUGGAUGCCACUCCGUUGCUCUGCCUACAGGCAAACUGUUUGUUGAUGUCACAUCCCUAGUCUGGUAUGACCUAGACUAGCUAAUCAUGUGUGCAUCAUGUUUAAAUUUCAUUUAAUUCUGAAAUGAGGAUUUGUGAAACCCUCAGAAUCAUUUCUGGAAAUGACCCAAAUAAAAAAAUUUCUCCAAAAAGGUCCAAGAAAAUGCUCAUGUUGCUCCCUGAAAAUAUUGGACAGAGAUAAAAAUCAAACCAAUAUUUUUAGGAUCUCAUAAGUAUUUAUUUUGGGCAUUUGGAAUUAAUAUAGUAAUUAUUUUCUUUGGAUAUAUAUUGUUAUAUAUAUAAAAUAUUGUCCAAAAAACUAUGCCAUUUGUUAAGGAGCUCUGGAAUAAUAUAACUAGCUUCUAUAAAAAUUGGCAUAAGAAAAUAAAUUGGUUUAGUAUUUUUAUUAAACCAAACAAAUGUCAGAAAAAUAGAAAAGAGAAACAAAUCAGGAGAAAAACUUACCUAGCGCUUACCUCCCUGUGCAGCCCGUUCCUGUGCGGCCUGGCCAACCCAGCUGGCCAGCCCGGCCCACCUGGCCUCCUCCUCUGUCGUCUUCCUCCCCCUCGCCCAAGCAGCUGUGUGCCCACGCCACAGCUGGCCGCGGCCACGCACCCGGCCACCUCCUGCCUUCCUGUUUGCUCCGUGACCCCCUGCAACGUCGCCACGCGCCCCCCCGGACUCGCUCACUCUCCCCAGUCCUCUCCUCUCCUCUCUCUCACCUUAUCCCCGGGACGCCCGAGCACCACCGUCGCUGCCGCUCGCUGUUGCUACGCACAAUGCCACGACCUCGCCUCUCCAACGAGUCCACAAGCAUCUCCGCGACUCCCUCGUCCUCUUCACCGAGUCACGCGACGCCGGACGCUCUGCAUCGCCGCCACCAACGUCGUCUUCGCCUCCGGCCGCCCGAGAUCGCCGACGACAUUCCGGCCACUCCAGCCCUUCCCCGAGCUCGCGCACGACGCCAUCGAGACCACCGUGAGCAUCUCCCCGUUUCCCCUCUCUUCUCCCCCUCAUUCCCGCAUCGUAGCCAUCGUUUCCACCAUGGCCGAAGCCAUCGCCACCACAGCUCCUUGCCGUUGUGGCCACAGCCGCUGAAGCUCGCAGCCGAGCCCGCCGUUGCACUCAGUGCACUCUGGCGAGUCACGCGGACCCGCUCGCAGCCUCCCCCAUGCCCCGCAACAUCAAAAUCCCCGAUGGCCGUGCUCCAGCCGCCGCCACGAGCCUCGCUCCGGUGAGCUCCGGCCCCCCAGCUCCUCCCACCUGCCCCACCAGAUGCGCGAGACCCUGGGCUACGCCCCGGUGCUCUCCGAUGCCGUCCCCGUGGCCUGUAACGCAGACACCGCCGUGUCCCGUGGUCGCCGGCGACGACCUCGCCGGCCUGACAGGUGGACCCCGCCGUCAGGUGAUUAGCUUAAGCUAAUCACCAACUAACCUAACCCCUGACGCUGACAUGUGGGCCCCAGUGCCCCCUAAUCUUUAAUUAAACUAAACUAACCCCCCUGUUUAACCCGUAUCACUGACGUGUGGCCCCACACGUCAGGUUUGACCCGGUCAGCCAUGGUUGACUCGCUAACGUCAUGCCUCUGUAAUGUUGACGCAGUUAUUCAUUUUCUGGAUUUAAAUUAAUCGGGAAAUUCCAGAAAAUGAUUUAAACUUCAAAAAUUGAUAGAAAUUCAACCGUAGCUCAGAUUGAAAUAAUUUAUAUAUGAAAAAUUAUCAGAAAAAUGUAAUCUAUCCAUCUGUACUAGUUUCAUGCAUGACAAACCAACCUAAACCUGCUGUAUAGGUGAAAAAAUAUAAAUGGCAUAUAUAAGAGCUUAAUUUGGAGUUGCAUUUGAACCCUUGAUUCAAAUGGACUUCAUUCAAUUUGAAUACUAGUUGCAUUAGCUCAAACAGCAUCACAUCUACAUGCCAUGUUCAUGCAGCAUAUUGCUGCAUAUGUUUGUGUAUUGAUUGCCGACACUGUUCCUUCUUGAUAGGUCCUGCUCCGGAGUCCGUUCCAGAGUACCUUUCUGAGGAGCAGUGCCCCCUUGUUGAUCUACCAGGCAAGCAAACCCCCCUUGUUCAUUCCGAUACAAUCCUACUCUCUCGCUCCUGCUCUCAGUUAUUGCAUUAACACAACAACGAUUCAUCUGCUACUUUGUGCUGUGGUAGUUGAACCCAUUCCUCUACAUGACCUGUCAUUGCCACAGUAAAUAGUUGAAACCCACUAGCAUGUGUUGGAGUUGAUUGAGCCAUGUUGUGUUCCUACCAUGCUAUGCCUGCUAUUGCUUAGAGUGUGUCAGGUUUGAUUCAUUGGGAAUGAAUUGGAGUGCAGCGCUCUAUGUUCUAAUGCUGAGAGUUAAGUGUGUGAACACGAUUUGGUAAAGGUAGCGGUGAGAGGCCAUGUAGGAGUACAUGGUGGGUUGUCUCACUGGAACCGUCCUUAAGCACUGAGUUCUAUGUAUGUUGUCCAAUGACUCGAUACUACCACACAUUGGGCUCCGGGCGCUCCAAGCCCUCUCGACUUAUUAAUCGACUUGAUCUUUGUCCAGGAGUCGCAACUAGUUUCUGGUGUUUGUAGGUAGUGCUAUUUUUCUACCGAGUGGCACCCGGCAGGGUGGGCUUGGGACAGACUAGGCACAGGUGGCACGGUGUACCAAGUGGCACCCGGAUGGUGGGCUUGGGAACCCUGCUCACAUCAUUUGGGGCCGUGAGCGACACCCCGGCCGGAUCUCCUUGCGGAUAGAACCCGAAUAGGCGAUAAACCUGGACUAGAGUCUUGUGUGGUUAGUCAGGUCGUGGCCGACACCCUCGCCAGGCUUCCGCUUGAAGGUUGCUGAGAUACAUGACGUGUACAUGGCGGUAAGUGGCGAGAGCGUGUGUGAAGAAGUACACCCCUACAGGGUUAACAUGAUCUAUUCGAAUAGCCGGGUCCGCGGUUAUGGACUUCUAGGAUGCUUACAUGGUACAUAGACAACUUGAAGUGGAUACUCUAAAAUGCUCAAGACAAGUGUGAGUGCUAUGGAUGGCCUUCUCGUAGGGAGACGGGGAUGAAUCCAUAGUAGUGUAUUGUGUGGUGAUUAGUGGACUCGUGUGCGUCAUAUCACCUCAAGAGUUUCUAGUAGUCGUAGAACAGGAUAGCCACAGAGUCAAAGCUGGCUUGCUGCAACUAAACCCCAGAUUACCCUCUUGAUACAAAUGCAUGUAUGAUAGGAUCUGAUGUAAGUCUUGCUGAGUAACUUUAUACUCAUGUUGCUUUAUUUAUGUUUUUGCAGCGGAGACUUCGGUCUUACUAGUGUUCUCGUGGACUUCGACGAGUAGCUUGUACCUCAGCUACGAUCUUGAUCGGAUGUUGUAGAUAGCCAGGCUCUUUAGCAUUUUUCAUUUGUAGAUGUCUGUACUCAGACAUGUAAUGCUUCUGCUUGUUGCUUGUAUGCUCUGUAUGAUGGGUCCUGUGACCCCUACUUGCAAUAAAUGCUAUGAUGGCUCUUUGAGCCUUAUCUAUAUGAGUUGUUGAGUUAUGCUGUGAUGCCAUGUUGUACAACACAUACUUGCAUGUUAUGCGUACGUGUAAUGUGUAUUGCUAUGUGUGGGAUCUGACUAUCUAGUUGUUUAUCCUUAGUAGCCUCUCUUACCGGGAAAUGUCUCCUAGUGCUUCCACUGAGCCCUGGUAGCUUCCUACUGCUCCGGAACACUUAGGCUGGCCGGCAUGUGUCCUUCUUCGUUCCUGUGUCUGUCCCUUCGGAGAAAUGUCAUGCGGUGUCUACCGGAGUCCUAUUAGCCUGCUACAGCCCGGUUUACUGGAGUCCUGCUAGCCCAGUUGCUACAGCCCGGAUUCACUCACUGAUGACCGACACGUUCGAUGCUGGGUCAUGUAUGCCUCUCCCUGUAAGUUAGUGCCACUUUGGGUUCACGACUAGCCAUGUCAGCCCGGGUUCUUUGUCAUAUGGAUGCUAGCGACACUAUCAUAUACGUGUGCCAAAAGGCGCAAAUGGUCUCGGUCAUGGUAAGGCGACACCCGUGGGAAUACCGUGCGUGAGGCCGCAAAGUGAUAUGAGGUGUUACAUGCUAGAUCGGUGUGGCAUAGAAUCAGGAUCCUGACAGUUUUGGUAUCAGAGCCUGACUGCCUGUAGUAUUACCAAGCCAAAGUGGUCGAAGUUGAGUCUAGAAAUUCUUUAGUUAUGUAAGGGAAUUGAUUGUGGGAAGGAACGUAAGGCUCUUUUUACUCCUUUACCACAUGACCUUCUGAUCUGAGUCAUCCUAUCUUUCCUGCGGGGUUAAUGAACUAGGCUUUCUCUUCCGUCUAUCAGUAUCACGUGUUACUACUCCGUAGUCCCAUAGGAUUGGUUGAUCAGAGUCAUACCCCAGUUUCGAGUAUUUCCGGUGUAGUCUGUUUAGUAUUAUCUCAGAACCUUGAGUGGUGAUGUUGAGUUGUUGUACUACUCCAUUUUUAGCAGGAUGUCUCAUUCUGAGCAUUUUACUGCUGUUAUGCUGCCGGAAUUGCCCUAGGAGUUCGAGAGAUACUAAUUUCCUCAUCCUACAUUCUAUAGCCUAUAAUUGAUGCUGAUUUCGUCCCUGGUUUCGUUUCUUAGGAUGUCAUCAAGUUCUAUUGUUCGUAGCCAGAACCACCGAGAUGGUAGGGACGAGGAUCCUCCCGACCCGCCUUCGUUGACAGAGUUCAUGCUAGAGAUGGAGAGGAACAAGCGUGAGUCUAACCACUUGUUGGCACGUAUCGAGGAGAACACCGCACAUCAGUCCAAUAAGUCUGCAACCAUUCAUGACUUCAUUUGCUUGCACCCACCUACCUUUCAUCAUUCCAUCGAGCCACUCGAUGCAGAUGACUAGCUCCGUAGCAUCACUCAUAAGCUGCGUUCUGCGAACGUAGCUGAAGUUGACAAGGUCACCUAUGCCACAUACCACCUGGAAGGUCCUGCUAGUCUUUGGUGGCAAAACUAUGAGGCUAUGCUUCCAGCUGGUCAGAUUCCUACCUGGAAAGAUUUCACUGAGGCUUUUCGCGAGCAUCACAUUCCUGAAGCCCUCAUCGAUCGCAAGAGAGAAGAGUUCUGUAGUUUCACCCAGAGUAAGAUGGCUGUUGAUGCUUACAGUAGAGAGUUUGAGAACCUCGCCCGCUAUGCCAUAGAAGAGGUAUCCACGGACGCCAAGAAGCAGGCUAGGUUCCGGAAGGGUCUCAACCCCAAGUUGCGUCAUGAUCUCCACUUGCAUCAUUGUGAUACAUUCCAAGCUCUUGUGAACAAGGCCAUCAACGCAGAAACAGCUCAGCUCACUUACGAGGAGUCUCGUAAGCACGCCCGUGAUUUGGGAUCUUCUUCCGGUUCUAGUUCUCAGAAGCGCCGGAUUUGGGUUCCAAACUCCGCUCUUCCUUCCGGAUAUGCACCGAGGCCAUCCUAUGUGGUGCCUCCCCCAGCUCAGCCGUGUGUUCCACCCAUACCUACUGGUAGACCGCUUGUCAGUGCGGGUCCACGUCCAACUUCAGGGACUUGCUUCACAUGCGGGAAGCCAGGACACUAUGCACGUGACUGCUCUCAAACUAGUUAUGCCCCACCCCAGCCCGAGAAGUCUGUUGGCCAUGGUAAGCCACCACGCAAGAUGAUCAGUGUCAAGUCAGCCCCCACUGAACGUGGACGUGUGCAUCACGUCUCAGCUAAAGACGCUCAUGAUGAUCUGGAUGUCGUUCUUGGUACACUUCUUGUCAAUUGUCAUCCAGCAUUGGUUCUGUUCGAUACUGGAGCAUCUCACUCCUUCAUUUCUGAAAGCUAUGCUAACUUGCACAACCUGUCAUUUUGUGAUAUGCCCUCUCCACUAGUCAUUCAAACUCCUGGAUCCAAAUGGCAAACCUCUAGUGUAAGCCAUGGUAACGAAAUCCUUGUUGACAGACUUGUAUUCCUUGCAUCACUUAUAGCCCUCAAGUCUACAGAUAUUAACAUCAUCUUGGGUAUGGACUGGAUGACAGCUCAUCAUGCCAAGAUUGAUUGUUACACCAGGUCUGUUCAGCUUACACACCCAUCUGGCAACAUAGUCACUGUCUCCACCAGAGUUGCAAAGCGCCAACUCUAUUCUCUUAAUGCCAGCCCUCUCCCUGACCUUGAAGAUAUUCCGGUAAUCCGUGACUUUCCGGAUGUCUUUCCAGAGGAACUGCCAGGUGUUCCACCUGACAGAGAUGUAGAGUUCGUCAUAGACCUUAUCCCAGGAACCGCUCCAAUCUCUAGGAGACCUUACAAGAUGGCACCCUUAGAACUAGCCAAGCUUAAGAAACAACUUGAUGAGUCCUUGCAAAAGGGUUUCAUCCGUCCUAGUUCUUCCCCUUGGGCUUGCCCCGUCCUCUUCGUCAAGAAGAAGGAUGGUACGGACCGGAUGGUUGUGGAUUAUCGUCCCGUUAAUUUGGUCACGAUAAAGAACAAAUAUCCGCUCCCUAGGAUCAACGACCUGUAUGAUCAGCUCGCUGGAUCCUCAGUCUUCUCCAAGAUGGAUUUGAGGUUAGGCUACCACCAAAUCAAGAACAUAAAUGGGGACAUCCCCAAGAUAGCCUUUGUCACUCGUUAUGGCCAGUACGAGUACACCGUCAUGUCCUUCGGCCUAACCAACGCCCCAGCCACUUUCUCCCGCUUGAUGAACUCGAUCUUCAUGGAGUACUUAGAUAAGUUCGUCGUGGUUUACCUCGAUGAUAUUCUUAUUUACUCGAAGAACGAGGAAGAGCAUGCCGAACAUCUUAGACUUGUGUUAGGAAAACUCAGAGAGCACCGCCUUUAUGCCAAGUUCUCCAAGUGCGAAUUUUGGUUGCCAGAAGUGACCUACCUAGGCCACGUGAUUUCUGGUAAGGGCAUUGCUGUCAAUUCCGAGAGAGUUAAGGCCGUUCUCGAUUGGACUCCACCUGAGACCGUUAAAAAAGUUAGGAGUUUCCUUGGUAUAGCUAGCUAUUGUCGUCGCUUUGUUGAAAACUUCUCCAAAGUAGCCAAACCCCUCACGGAACUUCUCAAGAAAGAUAAAAAGUUUGAGUGGUCCCCACAGUGUGAGUACAGUUUUUCAGGAACUGAAAAGGCGCCUGACUUCUGCUCCCAUACUUGUGCCACCGGAUUUCACAAAGGACUUUUUUAUCUACUGCGACGCCUCACGACAGGGACUAGGUUGCAUUCUUAUGCAGGAUCGUCAUGUGAUUGCCUAUGCAUCUCGACAGUUGCAUCCACAUGAGGAUAAUUAUCCUACACAUGAUCUAGAGCUUGCAGCCGUAGUCUAUGCACUCAAGACCUGGCGACAUUACCUUCUUGGUAAACGUUGCGAGAUCUACACCGAUCACCAGAGUCUCAAGUAUAUCUUCACACAACCAGAUUUGAACCUUAGGCAAAGACGUUGGUUGGAGUUAAUCACAUAUUAUGAUCUAGGGAUUACCUACACCCCAGGCAAAGCCAAUGUCAUGGCUGAUGCGUUAAGCCGUAAAUCCUAUUGCAACAAUCUCAUGUUGCAGCAAGGCCAACCACUUCUCCAUGAGGAAUUCUGUAAGCUUAAUCUUCACAUUGCUCCUCACGGAUUCCUUUCUACCUUGGUGGCGAAACCUGAUCUUGAAGAUCGGAUUGUCGCUGCUCAAAAGCAAGACACAGGAAUUUCUCGGAUCAAGAGAAACAUUAAGAAGGGAGUUGGUGGAUGUUUCUCUAUGGAUGAUCGUGGUGUUGUUUUCUUUGAGAAUCGCUUGGUGGUUCCCAAGAAUCAACAUCUGCGACAAUUGAUUCUUAAGGAGGCGCAUGAAUCUCCUCUCACGAUUCAUCCCGGUAGUACUAAGAUGUAUCAGGACCUACGCCAGAGGUUCUGGUGGACUAGGAUGAAGAGAGAAAUCGCUCAGUUUAUUGCUAACUGUGACAUUUGCCGUCGCGUUAAGGCAGAGCAUCAAAGACCCGCUGGCACCCUUCAGCCUUUAGCUAUUCCUAAGUGGAAAUGGGAUAAAGUUGGUAUGGAUUUCAUCACCGGCUUUCCCAGGACCAAGAAAGGGAAUAACGCUAUCCUCGUAGUCGUUGAUCGUCUUUCCAAAAUGGCUCACUUCCUUCCUGUUCGAGAGAGUAUCACUGCUAGUCAGCUCGCUGACUUAUACAUUUCUCGAAUAGUGUCACUCCAUGGUGUUCCACUAGAGAUCAAUUCAGACCGUGGUAGUCUUUUCACUUCCCAUUUCUGGGAGAGUUUCCAAACUGCCAUGGGAACCCAUCUUUCCUUCAGUAUCGCUUUCCACCCUCAGUCGAGUGUUCAGGUGGAAAGGGUCAACCAAAUUCUCGAAGACAUGCUUAGAGCUUGCGUUAUCUCAUUCGGUAUGGAUUGGGAGAAAUGUCUUCCUUUCGCCGAGUUUGCUUAUAACAAUAGCUAUCAAUCCAGCCUCAAGAAAGCUCCUUUUGAGAUUCUCUAUGGACGAAGAUGUCGAACACCUUUGAACUGGUCAGAAACCGGUGAAAGACAAUUCUUUGGACUGGACAUGAUCUGGGAGGCAGAAGAGCAAGUUCGCAUCAUUCGUGAGAAUUUGAAAACAGCCCAGUCUCAUCAGAAGAGUCAGUAUGACCGUCAUCAUAGGGAGAUGACCUAUGAAAUUGGCGACAAAGCUUAUCUUCGGGUUACUCCCAUGAAGGGUACCCAUCGUUUCGGUAUCAAGGGCAAGUUGGCUCCUCGUUACAUUGGUCCCUUUCGCAUUCUCGCUAAACGAGGAGAGGUUGCCUACCAGUUGGAACUACCCCCACAUCUUUCCAGAGUGCAUGAUGUCUUCCACGUCUCUCUACUCAGGCGUUGCUUCUCGGAUCCCAUCCGCGGAGUAGACCACGAAACGCUUGAUCUCCAAGAUAACCUCACAUACCGAGAGUACCCGGUUUGCAUUCUUGAUCAAGCAGAGGGUGUCACUCGACGUCAGAACAUCAAGUUUCUCAAGGUUCAGUCGUCUCAUCAUUCCGAGAGAGAAGCUACUUGGGAGCGAGAAGAUCGUCUUUGGCUGGAGGACCCCGCUUUCUUUCCGUCGACCCCUGAAUCUAGGGACGAGAUUUUUUCAAGUGGGGGCGAGUUGUCACAUCCCUAGUCUGGUAUGACCUAGACUAGCUAGUCAUGUGUGCAUCAUGUUUAAAUUUCAUUUAAUUCUGAAAUGAGGAUUUGUGAAACCCUCAGAAUCAUUUCUGGAAAUGACCCAAAUAAAAAAUUGCUCCAAAAAGGUUCAAGAAAAUGCUCAUGUUGCUCCCUGAAAAUAUUGGAUAGAGAUAAAAAUCAAAGCAAUAUUUUUAGGAUCUCAUAAGUAUUUAUUUUGGGCAUUUGGAAUUAAUACAGUAAUUAUUUUCUUUGGAUGUAUAUUGUUAUAUAUAUAAAAUAUUGUCCAAAAACUAUGCCAUUUGUUACGGAGCUCUGGAAUAAUAUAACUAGCUUCUAUAAAAAUUGGCAUAAGAAAAUAAAAUGGUUUAGUAUUUUUAUUAAACCAAACAAAUGUCAGAAAAAUAGAAAAGAGAAACAAAUCAGGAGAAAAACUUACCUAGCGCUUACCUCCCUGUGCAGCCCGUUCCUGUGCGGCCUGGCCGGCCCAGCUGGCCAGCCCGACCCACCUGGCCUCCUCCUCUGUCGUCUUCCUCCCCCUCGCCCAAGCAGCUGUGUGCCCGCGCCACAGCCGGCCGCGGCCACGCGCCCGGCCACUUCCUGCCUCCCUGUUUGCUCCGUGACCCCCUGCAACGUCGCCACGCGCCCCCCCGGACUCGCUCACUCUCCCCAGUCCUCUCCUCUCCUCUCUCUCGCCUUCUCCCCGGGACGCCCGAGCACCACCGUCGCCGCCGCUCGCUGUUGUCGCGCCCAACACGACGGCCUCGCCUCUCCGACGAGUCCACAAGCAUAUCCGCGACUCCCUCGUCCUCUCCAUCGAGUCACGCGAUGCCGGACGCUCUGCAUCGCCGCCACCAACGUCGUCUUUGCCUCCGGCCGCCCGAGAUCACCGACGACAUUCCGGCCACUCCAGCCCUUCCCCGAGCUCGCGCACGAUGCCAUCGAGACCACCGUGAGCAUCUCCCCAUUUCCCCUCUCUUCUCCCCCUCGUUCCCGCGUCGUAGCCGUCGUUUCCACCAUGGCCAAAGCCAUCACCGCCACAGCUCCUCGCCGUCGUGGCCACAGCCGCUGAAGCUUGCAGCCGAGCCCGCUGUUGCACUCAGUGCACUCUGGCGAGUCACGCAGACCCGCUCGCAGCCUCCCCCGUGCCCCGCAACAUCAAAAUCCCCGAUGGCCGUGCUCCGGCCACCGCCACGAGCCUCGCUCCGGCGAGCUCCGGCCCCCCAGCUCCUCCCACCUGCCCCACCAGAUGCGCGAGACCCCGGGCUACGCCCCGGUGCUCUCCGAGGCCGUCCCCGUGGCCUGUAACGCGGACACCACCGUGUCCCGUGGUCGCCGGCGACUACCUCGCCGGCCUGACAGGUGGACCCCGCCUUCAGGUGAUUAGCUUAAGCUAAUCACCAACUAACCUAACCCCUGACGCUGACAUGUGGGCCCCAGUGCCCCCCAAUCUUUAAUUAAACUAAACUAACCCCCCUGUUUAACCUGUGUCACUGACGUGUGGCCCCACACGUCAGGUUUGACCCGAUCAGCCACGGUUGACUCGCUGACGUCAUGCCUCUGUAAUGCUGUCGCAAUUAUGCAUUUUCUGGAUUUAAAUUAAUCAGGAAAUUCCAGAAAAUGAUUUAAACUUCAAAAAUUCAUAGAAAUUCAACCGUAGCUCACAUUGAAAUAAUUUAUAUAUGAAAAAUUAUCAGAAAAAUGUAAUCUAUCCAUCUGUACUAGUUUCAUGCAUGACAGACCAACCUAAACCUUCUGUAUAGGUGAAAACAUAUAAAUGGCAUAUAUAAGAGCUUAAUUUGGAGUUGCAUUUGAACCCUUGAUUCAAAUGGACUUCAUUCAAUUUGAAUACUAGUUGCAUUAGCUCAAACAGCAUCACAUCUACAUGCCAUGUUCAUGCAUCAUAUUGUUGCAUAUGUUUGUGUAUUGAUUGCCGACACUGUUCCUUCUCGAUAGGUCCUGCUCUGGAGUCCGUUCCAGCGUACCUUUCUGAGGAGCAGGGCCCCCUUGUUGAUCUACCAGGCAAGCAAACCCCCCUUGUUCAUUCCGAUACAAUCCUACUCUCUCGCUCCUGCUCUCAGUUAUUGCAUUAGGACAACAACGAUUCAUCUGCUACUUUGUGCUAUGGUAGUUGAACCCAUUCCUCUACAUGACCUGUCAUUGCCACAGUAAAUAGUUGAAACCCACUAGCAUGUGUAGGAGUUGAUUGAGCCAUGUUGUGUUCCUACCAUGCUAUGCCUGCUAUUGCUUAGAGUGUGUCAGGUCUGAUUCAUUGGGAAUGAAUUGGAGUGCAGCGCUCUAUGUUCUGAUGCUGAGAGUUAAGUGUGUGAACACGAUUUGGUAAAGGUAGCGGCGAGAGGCCAUGUAGGAGUACAUGGUGGGUUGUCUCACUGGAACCGCCCUUAAGCACUAAGUUCUAUGUAUGUUGUCCAAUGAAUCGAUACUACCACACAUUGGGCUCUGGGCGCUCCAAGCCCUCUCGACUUAUUAACCGACUUGAUCUCUGUCCAGGAGUCGCAACUAGUUUCUGGUGUUUGUAGGUAGUGCUAUUUUUCUACCGAGUGGCACCCGGCAGGGUGGGCUUGGGACAGACUAGGCACAGGUGGCAUGGUGUACCAAGUGGCACCCGGAUGGUGGGCUUGGGAACCCUGCUCACAUCGUUUGGGGCCGUGAGUGACACCCCGGCCGGAUCUCCUUGCGGAUAGAACCCGAAUAGGCGAUAAACCUGGACUAGAGUCUUGUGUGGUUAGUCAGGUCGUGGCCGACACCCUCGCCAGGCUUCCGCUUGAAGGUUGCCGAGAUACAUGACGUGUACAUGGUGGUAAGUGGCGAGAGCGUGUGUGAAGAAGUACACCCCUGCAGGGUUAACAUGAUCUAUUCGAAUAGCUGGGUCCGCGAUUAUGGACUUCUUGGAUGCUUACAUGGUACAUAGACAACUUGAAGUGGAUACUCUAAAAUGCUCAAGACAAGUGUGAGUGCUAUGGAUGGCCUUCUCGUCGGGAGACGGGGAUGAAUCCAUAGUAGUGUAUUGUGUGGUGAUUAGUGGACUCGUGUGCGUCAUAUCACCUCAAGAGUUUCUGGUAGUCGUAGAAUAGGAUAGCCACAGAGUCAAAGCUGGCUUGCUGCAACUAAACCCCAGAUUACCCUCUUGAUACAAAUGCAUGUAUGAUAGGAUCUGAUGUAAGUCUUGCUGAGUACCUUUGUACUCAUGUUGCUUUAUUUAUGUUUUUGCAGCGGAGACUUCGGUCUUACUAGUGUUCUCGUGGACUUCGACGAGUAGCUUGUACCUCAACUACGAUCUUGAUCGGAUGUUGUAGAUAGUCAGGCUCUUUAGCCUUUUUCAUUUGUAGAUGUCUGUACUCAGACAUGUAAUGCUUCCGCUUGUUGCUUGUAUGCUCUGUAUGAUGGGUCCUGUGACCCCUAUUUGCAAUAAAUGCUAUGAUGGCUCUUUGAGCCUUAUCUAUAUGAGUUGUUGAGUUAUGCUGUGAUGCCAUGUUGUACAACACAUACUUGCAUGUUAUGCGUAUGUGUAAUGUGUAUUGCUAUGUGUGGGAUCUGACUAUCUAGUUGUUUAUCCUUAGUAGCCUCUCUUACCGGGAAAUGUCUCCUAGUGCUUCCACUGAGCCCUGGUAGCUUGCUACUGCUCCGGAACACUUAGGCUGGCCGGCAUGUGUCCUUCUUCGUUCCUGUGUCUGUCCCUUCAGGGAAAUGUCACGCGGUGUCUACCGGAGUCCUGUUAGCCUGCUACAGCCCGGUUUACCGGAGUCCUGCUAGCCCAGUUGCUACAGCCCGGAUUCACUCGCUGAUGACCGACACGUUCGAUGCUGGGUCAUGUAUGCCUGUCCCUAUAAGUUAGUGCCACUUUGGGUUCACGACUAGCCAUGUCAGCCCGGGUUCUUUGUCAUAUGGAUGCUAGCGACACUAUCAUAUACGUGUGCCAAAAAGGUGCAAACGGUCUCGGGCAUGGUAAGGCGACACCCGUGGGAAUACCGUGCAUGAGGACGCAAAGUGAUAUGAGGUGUUACAUGCUAGAUCGGUGUGGCAUAGAAUCGGGGUCCUGACAGUUGAACUGCAGCAACAAGUUAUUUGCCACAUGGUGAAGCAAAGAACAACAGUGGAGGGUGCCCAAAUGAACAAAGAACUUGUUGGGGAUUUUAUUUUGAACUUGCCUGGAAGUAAUACUAGUACUCUAGUCCCAGUACAAGUAUCAUGCCUAUAAUUUGUAAACAUAAAAAGAUGCAGAAUUCACAAACGAAAAGAUUAGAAUAAAAGUUGAAACGAUAGAGAAACCAUGAAGCGAAUAGCAUGAGUGAUCUUCUAGUUGAAGCACUAUAUUGUACUGAUAUUUUUUUUGUCAGUGAACAUUUGUAAUUUGGUACUAGAGCUCACUGAUACUAUUUACUCUUCGUUUUCGAAGGCAUUUUUUAGUACAUGUUAAACCAUUUUUUUAAACACACCCACAGUUGAAAUGGAUCAGUACAUGCUGAAAAAUAUCAGUUUUUCAUAAGCAAAACUUGCACUGAAUUAGUUAAACUUUGAAUAUGGGAUAGAGGAAAGAGAAUUUACAAAGAACACACACUGACGUCUCUGCCUUCUCCACAGGCCUGAAUAAAGAGAACCAUCAGUUCAGUUUGAAAUAAACUGGAAGUUCCAACAUGGGCUGGAGAUUUUCACCGUCAGGAGCUGGGUAGGAGAGAAUCGAGCAGGGGAGUAGGGCCGCAUGUUCCCGGCCGCAGUCGCCGGAGAG
rnacentral:lncRNA from 1 species